rnacentral:rRNA from 1 species
GACGAACGCUGGCGGCGUGCCUAAUACAUGCAAGUAGAACGCUGAAGAGAGGAGCUUGCUCUUCUUGGAUGAGUUGCGAACGGGUGAGUAACGCGUAGGUAACCUGCCUGGUAGCGGGGGAUAACUAUUGGAAACGAUAGCUAAUACCGCAUAAAAUGGAUUAUCGCAUGAUAAUCCAUUGAAAGGUGCAAAUGCAUCACUACCAGAUGGACCUGCGUUGUAUUAGCUAGUUGGUGGGGUAACGGCUCACCAAGGCGACGAUACAUAGCCGACCUGAGAGGGUGAUCGGCCACACUGGGACUGAGACACGGCCCAGACUCCUACGGGAGGCAGCAGUAGGGAAUCUUCGGCAAUGGACGGAAGUCUGACCGAGCAACGCCGCGUGAGGGAAGAAGGUUUUCGGAUCGUAAAGCUCUGUUGUAAGAGAAGAACGAGUGUGAGAGUGGAAAGUUCACACUGUGACGGUAUCUUACCAGAAAGGGACGGCUAACUACGUG